rnacentral:lncRNA from 1 species
GGGAGAUGUGUUUAUGGGGCUGGCACCUGGUAAAGCACUCUAGACAAUGAGCUUUUUCUCCUGCAGUCCCUUUACUUUGUGGAAUCUGAAAUGAGGAUCGCACUUCUGCGACGAAGACACAGCAGAGGAGGCUGCAGCGAGGCUGGAAGGGCUCUCGCAUGGCCAAUCACUCAAUGCUGAAGGGGAUGGUGAGACUGGGAGAAACUUGGCCUUCAGGAGCUGCUGACACAUGGCCAGCCCCGUGACACUGCCCUUAGCUCCUGCCCUUCCCCAGCCAGCCAGCCGUCAGCAACUGAAAGGUAG